ACGAAGGGGGCAAGCGUUGUUCGGAUUUACUGGGCGUAAAGCGCACGCAGGCGGCGAUAUAAGUCAGAGGUGAAAUCCCUGGGCUCAACCUGGGAAUUGCCUUUGCUACUGUAUUGCUGGAGUCCAGGAGAGGGUGGCGGAAUACCCAGUGUAGAGGUGAAAUUCGUAGAUAUUGGGUAGAACACCGGUGGCGAAGGCGGCCACCUGGCCUGGAACUGACGCUCAUGUGCGAAAGCGUGGGGAGCAAACAG
rnacentral:rRNA from 1 species